AUUUAACGCUGGCGGCAGGCCUAACACAUGCAAGUCGAGCGGAGCGGCGGACGGUUGAGUAAUUCCCAGGUAUCUGCCUGGUAGUGGGGGCUAACGUCCGGAAACGGGCCCUAAUACCACAUACUAUCAGAUGAGCCUAGGACGGAUUAGCUCGUUGGUGGGGUAAAGGCCUACCAAGGCGACGAUCCGUAACUGGCCUGAGAGGAUGAUCAGUCACACUGGAACUGAGACACGGUCCAGACUCCUACGGGAGGCAGCAGUGGGGAAUAUUCGACAAUGGGCGAAAGCCUGAUCCAGCAAUGCCGCGUGUGUGAAGAAGGUCUUCGGAUUGUAAAGCACUUUUAGUUGGGAGGCGUUACCAAAAGAAUAAGCAACGGCUAACUACGUGCCAGCAGCCGCGGUAAUAC
rnacentral:rRNA from 1 species